rnacentral:rRNA from 1 species
AGUUUUGAGCUAAAUAUACUUAUAAUAUUAGUUAUUUAUGAAGGUGUUGUAAAACCUUUAUUUAAAAUUAUAUUUAGGGGUGAUAGGCCUUUCAAAAACUAAGAUAUCUUGAAUCUAAUUAAAAGUAUGUAGUACAAUUAACACAACUAUUAAGUGAUUAGGCUUUAUAGAAUUAUUAACCUAUAAGAUUUUAUUUACUAUAAUUUAAUAAUUAAGUACAUAAAUAUACUAAUAUACAUAUAUUAUAGUUUAUAAAAGAGUAAUUAGAUAGAUUUAAGUUCAUAUUUCUUAUAAUAAUGUUAAUAUUAGUAUUAAGAUUAUAUUUAUAUGAUGAACUCGGCAAAAAUACUUUUCAACUGUUUAUCAAAAACAUAACUAUGUGAAUGAAUACAUAGCGGUUUCUGCUCAA